ensembl:lincRNA
AUGCUGCGUUGCUUUAAGAAAGUCAAGGACUCCUCUGCAUUAGAGUUAACAGAAAGUGCACCUGCCCUGCCCUGCUGUACCUUCCGUUACGUGAAUGAUCAGCGCCUGGGUCUAUUCUCAACGCAGAAGCAGAGGUGCUUCCUUAAGCACAGGCUUUGUUUUCAGCACGUGAAGGCUUGGCCGGGGAUACCACAAACCACCAAACCUCCAAGUAUCCUGAUUCAAUGCGUGUUGAAGUCUAUACUCUACUGUAAUUUUCUCAAUAUUAAGGAAUUAGCCAGCAGUUAGCAUUGCAUUUUUCUACUUAUUAAACAAAUUAAGAGGUAUUUUGAAUAUAUUCAGACUGUUAGAGCAUGUGGUUUCUAUCUGGGAAGAGCAGAGGUUCCUGUAAAGGCAGUGAGUAAUUACCUUAGCACUGGUGACUCCGGGCUCAAGCUCGGCGGCACAAUGUAAUAAGAGACAGUUGCCAUAAACACACUAGUGGGGGUGAAUCGUGGUGUGUGGCCUUCUGGUGAGAAACAGAUAUCAGCCCUAGGUGAACCUCCUCCACUCCAGUCUCCACAUCAACUCCUGAUCCUUAAACUCUUUUGUUCUGAAAUUACACGGCUAUUAUUUAUAAUUACUCCACGGUUCUCUGUCAGAUUUUAUAUUUGAAGAAUGCCAUCUGCUAUUUAAAUUUACCAAUAAUUACUUAAAAUGCAUUCAUAGGAAGUACUUCAUGCAAGCUGGUUGGAAAGGGACAACUCGUGGCACUUUAAAGUGAAACACUUGACUUCAACACAACUACAAUUACAGAUCCCAGAGUCUCAGGUGAUACAAGUCUGUGUCUCCUUUAUUUUAAAUAGUAAAGCAUUAAGUGCAUGAUCAGAAUUGCUUGUGGUCUCCUUUACUGUUUUCUCACUAAAGCAUAAUCAAAUUUACCAACAUUUAUUUCUGAGAAAUUAAUAUUAAAUGCCUGUAGCAUUUUCAAGUGUGUCUGCAGGGCAUUAUGGCCUAGACCCAUGCAUGUCUUUUGGGGAGAAUGUCUAAAAUUUAUCUUGCGUACUUGACUUCACCUGACUUUCAAAAGAGCUUCCCCAAGGGAGACUAGACUCCUGUUGAUCUGCUAGUGCUCUUCACUCCACCCCAGGAACAAAACAUCUGAGCAAAGCAAGGCUCUCGUAUAAGCUACAAUGGAAGAAAAAUUCUUGGUGCUUGGAAACACGAAAGGCUGUGUCAAGGCAGAGAAUGAGAGAGUUAUUCGUUGGCUUAUCCACGUUGGCACUGAAAAUUAAUUUUUUCCACCAGGUCCUGUACUAGUGUCUCAUUUGCCUACUACAAUCCGUCAGUAUUAGUUUGGAAAAUGGCACUUUAAGGAUUUCCUAAAUCAGAGAUUUUGCCAAGUACCGAGUAUGCUUUCAACCAAUUCUAUGUGUAUCUGGAUUCAAAAUCCACUUUGAAGUUUGGAGUACAACCCGGUAAAUCACUGUAUUUCUAAGGCCAGCUAAGCAGGGGAACAAAAGAAACCUGGAGAUACUGCCCAAAUUAAGAAGUACUGCAGCACAACAGAGAGAGCAGGAACGGCUGGACAGAAGCAGCAAAUGGGCACUGAGUUUUACUUGCCCUGAAAUGUGGUACUGAAGUGCUCUGACCAGGAGCAUUCUAAGUAGGUGGUCGGACUGUCUGUCUCCUCAAAGCAUACUGCCUGUAAAUUCGCUGCAGUGCAUGAGGUAAGAAAAGCAGCAUGUCUGGCAUGAAAGUAAAAAUAUUCUGCUGCUCAAGUAAUAGAGAACUACUGACCCCUAUCAUGCGAGAGGUAACAACAGGUAGAUUAAAGAGCAUUUCACUCCCCUUUUCCCGCACACAUACACACAGACACACACGCACACACAAAGUCCUAAGCCUCUUGCCAGGCAGGGUUCUUCCAGCUUUUUCUGAUCCAGAACACUUUUUUAAUCACUUCAUUUUGUUUAGUG